GCCCACUCCAGUAUUCUUGCCUGAAGAAUUCAAUGGACUGAGGAGUCUUGCGGACUGCCUAAAGGAACGCGUCGUGUUGCUCGCUGAAAUCUUCCGGCUGGCCUGGCAAGUGACGCCCAACAGCGUGGAGCUCAACGAAAGUUCCUUGCGGCCGCUGCCCGUUGAAACUAUUAAGAAUGCCGAAGCGCCGCGCUGGCUCCCAGAAAGGUUGGUACGCACGGCGGAGGAGAUCACUGGUGGAGCGAAUGAGACAGCUCACAAUCCAGGAGACGGUCCUGCUGCCGACAACUCAGCAGAUACAGGCACUAUUACAGAUGGCGUCACUGGCUGG